rnacentral:rRNA from 1 species
CAGCAGUAGCCACGGUAAUACAGAGGGUGCGAGCGUUAAUCGGAUUUACUGGGCGUAAAGCGUGCGUAGGCGGCUUCUUAAGUCGGAUGUGAAAUCCCUGAGCUUAACUUAGGAAUUGCAUUCGAUACUGGGAAGCUAGAGUAUGGGAGAGGAUGGUAGAAUUCCAGGUGUAGCGGUGAAAUGCGUAGAGAUCUGGAGGAAUACCGAUGGCGAAGGCAGCCAUCUGGCCUAAUACUGACGCUGAGGUACGAAAGCAUGGGGAGCAAACAGGAUUAGAUACCCCUGUAGUCCCUGUCUCUUAUAC